rnacentral:rRNA from 1 species
AUUGAACGCUGGCGGCAGGCUUAACACAUGCAAGUCGAGCGGGGUGAUGGUGCUUGCACUAUCACUUAGCGGCGGACGGGUGAGUAAUGCUUAGGAAUCUGCCUAUUAGUGGGGGACAACAUCUCGAAAGGGAUGCUAAUACCGCAUACGUCCUACGGGCGAAAGCAGGGGCUCACUUGUGACCUUGCCCUCAUGGAGGAGCCUAGGUCGGAUUAGCUAGUUGGUGGGGUAAAGGACUACCAAGGCGACGAUCUCUAUCGGGUCUGAGAGGAUGAUCCGCCACACUGGGACGGAGACACGGCCCAGACUCCUACGGGAGGCAGCAGUGGGGAAUAUUGGACAAUGGGGGGAACCCUGAUCCAGCCAUGCCGCGUGUGUGAAGAAGGCCUUAUGGUUGUAAAGCACUUUAAGCGAGGAGGAGGCUCUUCUGGUUAAUACCCAAGAUGAGUGGACGUUACUCGCAGAAUAAGCACCGGCUAACUCUGUGCCAGCCGCCGCCGUAA